rnacentral:rRNA from 1 species
CGGACGGGUGAGUAAUGUCUGGGAAACUGCCUGAUGGAGGGGGAUAAUACUGGAAACGGUAGCUAAUACCGCAUAACGUCGCAAGGCCAAAGAGGGGGACCUUCGGGCCUCUUGCCAUCGGAUGUGCCCAGAUGGGAUUAGCUAGUAGGUGGGGUAACGGCUCACCUAGGCGACGAUCCCUAGCUGGUCUGAGAGGAUGACCAGCCACACUGGAACUGAGACACGGUCCAG